UAGGGAAUUUUUCACAAUGAGCGAAAGCUUGAUGGAGCAAUGCCGCGUGAACGAUGAAGGUCUUUAAGAUUGUAAAGUUCUUUUAUUUGGGAAGAAUGACUUUAGCAGGUAAUGGCUAGAGUUUGACUGUACCAUUUUGAAUAAGUGACGACUAACUAUGUGCCAGCAGUCGCGGUAAUACAUAGGUCGCAAGCGUUAUCCGGAUUUAUUGGGCGUAAAGCAAGCGCAGGCGGAUUGAAAAGUCUGGUGUUAAAGGCAGCUGCUUAACAGUUGUAUGCAUUGGAAACUAUUAAUCUAGAGUGUGGUAGGGAGUUUUGGAAUUUCAUGUGGAGCGGUGAGAUGCGUAGAUAUAUGAAGGAACACCAGUGGCGAAGGCGAAAACUUAGGCCAUUACUGACGCUUAGGCUUGAAAGUGUGGGGAGCAAAUAGGAUUAGAUACCCUAGUAGUCCACACCGUAAACGAUAGAUACUAGCUGUCGGGGCGAUCCCCUCGGUAGUGAAGUUAACACAUUAAGUAUCUCGCCUGGGUAGUACAUUCGCAAGA
rnacentral:rRNA from 1 species